UUUGUAGUUUAAUUGGUUAAAACGUGAAGCUCAUAACUUUAAAAUUAAAGGUUCAACUCCUUUCAG
rnacentral:tRNA from 14 species